rnacentral:rRNA from 1 species
GACGAACGCUGGCGGCGUGCCUAAUACAUGCAAGUCGAGCGGACUGAAUGGGAGCUUGCUCUUGUUCGGUCAGCGGCGGACGGGUAAGUAACACGUGGGCAACCUGCCCGCAAGACCGGGAUAACUCCGGGAAACCGGAGCUAAUACCGGAUAACACCGAAGACCGCAUGGUCUUUGGUUGAAAGGCGGCGCAAGCUGCCACUUGCGGAUGGGCCCGCGGCGCAUUAGCUAGUUGGUGAGGUAACGGCUCACCAAGGCGACGAUGCGUAGCCGGCCUGAGAGGGUGACCGGCCACACUGGGACUGAGACACGGCCCAGACUCCUACGGGAGGCAGCAGUAGGGAAUCUUCCGCAAUGGGCGAAAGCCUGACGGAGCGACGCCGCGUGAGCGAAGAAGGCCUUCGGGUCGUAAAGCUCUGUUGUGAGGGACGAAGGAGCGCCGUUUGAAGAAGGCGGCGCGGUGACGGUACCUCACGAGGAAGCCCCGGCUAACUACGUG